AGGACCAUUUACAUGUGAUUUUAGUGAUUUUGCAUCAAAUAAUGUUGUUCUGUUUUUUUUUUUAACUUGAAUGUUUAAAACGUGUCUAUUGAAUUUGAAUCAUUAAUAGGUUGUACCUUUAGGACCAUUUACAUGUGAUUUUAGUGAUUUUGCAUCAAAUAAUGUUGUAAAUUUACUAUCAACAUGGGUUGUAGUGCAGCGGAUGGAGCUUCUCCACCCUUAGCCAGAGGUUGACAGUUAAACCCUGAUCAUGCAGAAAACUCUGUUGGGAGCACUACCCCCGAAUGGGGCCCUACCCGGCGCGAAUCCGGAUUAAUCGAGCUCUAAUGCUGGUACCGGACACCGAAUAGAAAAAAAAAUGUGAUUCUAGUGAUUUUACAUCAAAUAAUGUUGUAAAUUUACUUACAACCAUUGCUUCACAUAUUUAUUGGCCCUACUAACUUUUAUCUUUUUUGGUUUUAAUCUUAUUUCAGUGCCUAUAAAUUCCUCCAUUUUUCUAGUGUUCAUUCACAACUCAAAAUUGCAAUCUUUCUUAUUAUUAAAAAAAAUAUUUGCAAUCUUUUUUAGUCAUUCAAAGUGACUAUGGCUCGUUCCAUUUACUUCAUGGCAUUUCUUUUCUUGGCAAUGACACUCUUUGUUGCCUAUGGGGUGCAAGGUUAGAACAUUUGCAAAACAAAAAGCAAAUAUUUC